GAUCUCUUGUGAUCUCCACUGCUGAGUCAAACUAAAUGAACUGUUUUUAAAUUUAGGUAGGCCCCCUGAGGACACAGGCUGCAUUUCAUUUCUUUAAAAAACCUUUCCCAAGAACUUACCCUGGGCCGCACUAGGGAUGCAAAGAUUCAAACAAGGGUCCUUAGUCUUGAGGAAGAAGUGAAGUGGGGAAGACAGAAGUAACUACAGAUCUGCCUUCCCCACUUGAAUUCUCGAUAACUUUCAAGAGCCAGGUGAGAAGAGGGCAGUGCUAUAGGAAGAGUGACCACUGGAGAUAUGCCAGAGUGCUAUGGCGAAUGCCACCAAGUCCAUGGGUCUGGCAAUGAUGGGCAAAUGAAGAUGGAUUUCUUGGAGCCCAGCUAACGGAAACCUUCAACAUUGAGCAACCUUCUGGCUUGGAGAAAAACUAAGUGCAUACUUGCCUAUAUUCCAAAACCAAGAUGAUGUAUACUUCCAAUCGAACAGAUGUGGUCAGCUGUUGAUUGGGCCCAGAGG